rnacentral:rRNA from 1 species
UGGGGAAUAUUGCACAAUGGGCGCAAGCCUGAUGCAGCCAUGCCGCGUGUAUGAAGAAGGCCUUCGGGUUUUAAAGUACUUUCAGCGGGGAGGUAGGGAGUAAAGUUAAUACCUUUGCUCAUUGACGUUACCCGCAGAAGAAGUACCGGCUAACUCCGUGCCAGCAGCCGCGGUACUACGGAGGGUGCAAGUGUUAAUCGGAAUUACUGGGCUUAAAGCGCAUGCAGGCGGUUUGUUAAGUCAGUUGUGAAAUCCCCGGGCUCAACCUGUGAACUGCCUCUGAUACUGGCAAGCUUGAGUCUCGUAGAGGGGGGGAGAAUUCCAGGUGUGGCGGUGAAAGGCGUAGAGAUCUGGAGGAAUACCGGUGGCGAAGGCGGCACCCUGGACGAAGACUGACGCUCAGGUGCGAAAGCGUGGGGAGCAAACAGG